GGGACAACCCGCCGAAAGGCGGGCUAAACCCGCGUACAUGCCACCGGGGCAUCCCGGAGGCAGGAAAGGCUUCGGCCGGACAGGGAUGGGCAUGCGGCGCAUUAGGCAGUAGGCGGGGUAACGGCCCACCUAACCGACGAUGCGUAGGGGUUCUGAGAGGAAGGUCCCCCACACUGGUACUGAGACACGGACCAGACUCCUACGGGAGGCAGCAGUGAGGAAUAUUGGUCAAUGGUCGGGAGACUGAACCAGCCAAGCCGCGUGAGGGAUGAAGGUACAGAGUAUCGUAAACCUCUUUUGUCAGGGAACAAAGGCGGGGACGUGUCCCCGGAUGAGUGUACCUGAAGAAAAAGCAUCGGCUAACUCCGUGCCAGCAGCCGCGGUAAUACGGAGGAUGCGAGCGUUAUCCGGAUUUAUUGGGUUUAAAGGGUGCGCAGGCGGUCUGUUAAGUCAGCGGUCAAAGCCCGGGGCUCAACCCCGGCCCGCCGUUGAAACUGGCAGUCUCGAGUUGGAGAGAAGUAUGCGGAGUGCGCGGUGUAGCGGUGAAAUGCAUAGAUAUCGCGCAGAACUCCGAUUGCGAAGGCAGCAUGCCGGCUCCACACUGACGCUGAGGCACGAAAGCGUGGGUAUCGAACAGGAUUAGAUACCCUGGUAGUCCACGCAGUAAACGAUGACUGCA
rnacentral:rRNA from 1 species